rnacentral:tRNA from 9 species
GGUCUGGUAGUUCAGCUGGUUAGAAUAUCUGCCUGUCACGCAGGGGGUCGCGGGUUCGAGUCCCGUCCAGACCGCAA